GAAGCAGCAGCGGUGAGCAACAGCAGCAGUAGAAACAGCAGCGGCAAGCUGAAGCCGAGGUGUCACUCGGUCACCUCCAGAACCCACCUGAAUGCACCCCGGUACUCUGAUACUUUGCUGACCACAGAUAAGCUCAGAUAUCACCUUUGGGCCAGGCCAUGCAGAUGAUCUUCUCCACGGAUGAGUCCACCAGCAGGAAGUAAAUUGGCUGUUCCUGCUUCAGUAGGUGGGAUGUGCUGAAGACACAGACUACCUUGGGGAGUUACCAUGAAAUACCCCCUUGGAACAGAAGCAGCUUUUGUAGCUGAAUAGUCAGCAAGGCCUAAGAAGCUUCCAUAGGCUGGCAGACAUUGAGGAUGACUCCCAGCUGGAUAGGCUCAAUUGUGAAUUAGUCUCAUCUGACAGCUGAAACAUGGCUUAGCACAGAUUCUCAGCAGCCUGCUCUGCUGUAUGCUAUUUCAGCAGGAUGCACUCAGAACAGCACGGCACUGCGCUAUGCACUAUACAUAUGCAUAGUAAGAGAUACUCCCUGCCUCAAAGACCCUACAAUCUAAACAGACAAGACAGACGAUGGUACAGAGAUACACCAGGGCAGUGGUUGAGCUGGGAACACCAUGCGGGCCUAUGGAGUCCCAAUCGGACAUUGCUUAAAUGUAACUGAAUGUUAUGUUUUACCCAUUACAUUUGGCAUUCUUACUAACAGCA